rnacentral:lncRNA from 1 species
CAUCCCAUAUGCUGGUCCUUUGCUGCGCUCUCUCGUGUUGGCUCGGUGGGGUUUGAAGUGACUAACGGGAAUUAGAACAUCGACUGAGCUCCGGUUUCAUCCAUCUUCUGAAGUUCAGUUUCGAAGGUUCGGGUUGGAGACGGUUGGGAAGUGUUUUUGGGGGGUUUGAAAGUCUAGUUUUAUCCGAAUAAAAAGGCAUGGAGGCUCAUGGAGUUCUCUCUCUGCUGUGCGUUGCGCUGUGUGCUGGGGCGUUCGCACAGCAGACCGACAGACCCAAGUUCUGGGGUGAGUGUAUAUAAAAUGUGUUUCUUGAUAAGAAACUGACUUAUUGUUCCCGGGUUGUCUAGUAUUGUAUGUCUAUGUAUGAUAUGUAAUUAAUAGGGAACUAAACAAGCUAUUUGGGAUGAGAAACAAGUUAGAAACCACAGAGAACGAGAGAGAGAGAGAGAGAGAGAGAGAGAGAGAGAGAUAAAAUUGGGAUGGUUUCUGGCGAGUCUCUGCGUCUUGGCCAGAUGUUGCGUUGGAAGUUAAUAACAAACAGCCUUGUAGGAGCUACAGCGAUCUUAGUAAAAUAGACAAUGCUUAAAUCAGAUAUUAGGCCGUGCCUAAGCUAGCAGAAUUACUGAGCUGGUGUGGUCGUUGGUCCUACUGUAUGUAGUUAGGCUACAGUCUAUCUAGCACAGCUGCACAUUAUGCUUAGAGUGGUAUCAUCAAAGUGUUACCCUCGCCGCAGCCUAACUUAUCACUAGGGGCAGUGAAACUGGUCAGCGUUAGGGGUAAUCAAUCACUCAAUCAAUCUGUGUAAAUGGCUGGGAUUUGAAUUUAAAUCCAACGCAGGAUGCAGAAUCAAAAUAUUUCUGAGGUUGUUGAUUGAAUUGAGGCCUUAGUCUAAACAUAUUGUAGUUGAAAUAUUACUUUUUAUUUUGUUAUUUAAAGUAGUACAAUUUAGUACAAUUUAGUACAACAGUUUUGUACUUAACAUUUUUAUUUUUAUCCUUUUAGUCUGGUUUUAUUACCAGCUUCAUUAUAUUGUAG